GCAAGCAGAUCUGGUUGUAUUCUGCCAUGGAGGCUUGUAUUCUUCAAAAGGACUUGAGCAACCACAAACUGAAAGUGAAACUUUGUCUGAGCUUAUCAGUUCUGUGGACACACUAGGGGCAAAGUACGAAGUACUGUACAUUUCAGAUCCAUUUCGGUCAAUCCAGUAUCCUUCUCAUCGAGAACUGGAAAGAUUUCUUGCUGAA
rnacentral:misc_RNA from 1 species